CCUUUACGGGAGGCAACAGUGGGGAAUAUUGCGCAAUGGGGGCAACCCUGACGCAGCCAUGCCGCGUGAGUGAAGAAGGUUUUCGGAUCGUAAAGCUCUGUUGUAAGAGAAGAACGAGUGUGAGAGUGGAAAGUUCACACUGUGACGGUAUCUUACCAGAGAGGGACGGCUAACUACGUGCCAGCAGCCGCGGUAAUAAGG
rnacentral:rRNA from 1 species